UACGUAGGGGGCGAGCGUUGUCCGGAUUUAUUGGGCGUAAAGAGCGUGUAGGCGGCUUGGUAGGUCUCGCGUCAAAACCUGAGGCUCAACCUCAGUUCGCGUGGGAAACCACCUAGCUAGAGUCCGGAAGAGGAGAACGGAAUUCCCAGUGUAGCGGUGAAAUGCGCAGAUAUUGGGAGGAACAUCGGUGGCGAAGGCGACCAACUGGUUGGUGAUUGACGCUGAGGCGCGAAAGCGUGGGGAGCAAACAGG
rnacentral:rRNA from 1 species